rfam:Picea glauca, whole genome shotgun sequence.
GUCAACAUGUCCGAGUGGUUAAGGAGAUAGACUCGAAAUCUAUUGGGCUAUGCCUGCGCAGGUUCGAAUCCUGCUGUUGACG